GGGGUCACAAGUUUUUCCUCAGACUGUGGAACUGGGCUUGGUCCCUCUGGAAGCGAUGUAGGUGAUGGGGUUGUUUUUCGUUGCUGGUGAACCGCUCUCCACUGGUGCACCAGGUGGUAUUUCAGGCUCUGGCUGAGCCUCUUGGGUAUGAUUGUCUGUUGCUUCUGCCAGUUCAGACCUGCUGACGCCCUCGGGCAUUGGGGUUGGAGACGGGUUUGCAAGCGCUGGCGUCAGUGCUGGCAACGGUUCUGGUGCUGGUUGCUUUUCCAGUUCUGGGUCUGGGACUGGAGGCACUGUGGCGGUUGCAGUUGUUGGAAGGGGAUCCGGGUCCACCACCUCUGGCUGGGUCUCUGGUAACACAGACGGGGCCCUUGUGGACGGCUCAGGAACAGAGAUGGGUCUGGAAGCUUGCCUGGCU